rnacentral:rRNA from 1 species
GGGGGGGGGGGGGGGGGGGGGGGGGGGGGGGGGGGGGGGGGGGGGGGGGGGGUGGGGGGUGGGGGGGGGUGGGGGACGGGUGGGGAGGGCGUCGGGGAGUGCGCAGGAGUGGGGGGUAGCCGGGCGCACGCCGGGUUCCUCCCGCAUACGGCCGGCGGUUGGCAGCGGUGGCCCGAAACGCCUCGCGCUAUCGGCGCGCGCGCUGUCGUCUUGUCUAGUUGGUGUGGUCGAUGCUUACCACGCCGACGCUCCGUAGCUGGUCUGAGAGGACGACCCGCCACACUUGGACUGAGACACGGCCCAGACUCCGACGGGAGGCAGCAUGGGGGAAUUUUGGACAAUGGGGGCAACCCUGAUCCAGCCAUGCCGCGUGCGGGAAGAAGGCCUUCGGGUUGUAAACCGCUUGUGUUCGGGAAGAAAUCCUCUGGGCUAAUACCCCGGGGGGAUGACGGUACCGGAAGAAUAAGCACCGGCUAACUACGUG